UUUUUUUAAAGAAGAAUAUGUUUUCUUUUCCUUCCUUUAAUUUUACUGUAACAGUUUGUCUAUCCCUACUGGGUAGGUGGGGAGAAAUGGGUGUGGGGUUGAUAAGGUCUCGAGGAGACUAAGGCGUCCUGUCGGGUCUCGUGGUGUUCCAAGACUUCCUUGGAGAGGAAGGAGCCUUAGCUACAGGGAUGCUGAGUACCCUGUGUCAUGUGCUUGUUGCUGUUUAGAUCACUUGCUGUGAUUUAAGCAGGGUCCCAAGGCAACGCCUGGGACAACAGGCCUGACACAUGUCAUCUCAAUGAUUCUGAAAUUAAUACCUGAUAGAAGAGAGAGGACUCCCAACUUCUUGUUUCUAGUCCAGCGCUAUUUCUGUGUUCUUGAGGACGCUUGAGGCUGCCUGUGACACUUCUGAGGACAUACCAUCUGGCUGUGUCGCGGCUGUGUGGAUUUUGAAACACAAAAAGAGAAAGAGGGAGCUUUCUUGGCCCGCGUAAGCGUUAAAAAAGUGAUGUUUUUCAUUCCCCUUGUCAUCAGGGAAGGCAGUGACACUGCCAAGGGACGAGCGCUCGGGGCCUCGGACGAAGUGGGUGUCUGUGUUACGGGUCUUGGUGUGGGGCUGCCCUCCGGCACCCAGCUGCCAGCUGCUCUCUUCCAGUUGUCACCUGAUGCCUCUGGCUGCACAGCUUCUGAUCCCCGUGUUCUUGUCUGUGACUGACUGGCCAGCGCUCUCUUGCUGGUCUACCCAUAACUUGAAAGAUAAAUCCAGUUGUUAAGCACUUUUACAUGAAUAUGUGAUCAAUUAAAGCCAGUGACAAACUGGCCCAGCCUGACGGUUUAGACCUUAUCUCAUAACUAAGUCUACAAGGCUGGGAGAAGCUCUGACACCCGAGACAGCGUGAAGGGCUGGAGAGCAGCUUCAGAGGAAAUAACCCAGAAACUGCGAAGAAAGAAGCCCUGGAGAAUAGGCUGAUGCCUCAAAGGACCACAGGAUGCUUCCAAGGCUGGGGAGGAAACUGCCCAGUCUGGGCACCCCGGGAAGCCUGCACGGACUGCUGCCUUCUGGCAAGCAAGGUGUCUGCUGCUCUAAGCAAGAUUACAGAGAUGGUGGUGAUGACAGCUGAGAUCCAAAUGGGGAGGUCUCUCCUCCGCCCACCCCCGGGAGAGGUCUGGGCAACUCUAGUCACCAGGCAAAUUUGAAAGCUUGAACUCCAUCGUGAUGCAUUUAAACCUCAACGUGUCCGUGCUGAGGUCAUGUGAAGAAGCUUGAUUUAUGAGGUCCUGGAGUUGGUGUUUUCCACACUGUCACCUGGAAUGCUGAAACAGCAAGUGUCCUCGUGGCAGCCGUUG